rfam:Sorghum bicolor cultivar BTx623 chromosome 2, whole genome shotgun sequence.
GUAGUCGGAUUCGCAUCAAUCCAUAUGUAUUGGUGUGGGUUGGAGUGGAACUUGAACUAAAUUAUAUUUUAAUCCACUCCAAUACAUGUGGAUUGAGGUGAAUCCGAUA